GAGUGUGAUCAUACCAGCACUAAUGCAUCGGAUCGAAUUAGAACUCUGCGGUUAAGCGAGCUUGGAGGAGAGUAGUACCAGGAUGGGUGACCUUUUAGGAAGUCCUCGUGUUGCACCUC
rnacentral:rRNA from 1 species